AUUUGUCUAUGCUUUUCGAUAGCCUUUGGUAGUUUGGCCUGUCUAGGAUUUUGCUAUUCAUAGUCGCCCGUUCUUCGCUGUUGCUGCGUGGUUUCGCGUUGUUUAACUAGUGUUUUGAAAGUCCCGAAGCUUCUUCGCCUUCUGCGGCGAUGUGGGAUGAGAAGUGUCUGCCGGAGGCAACGAUCUUUCUCUUUUGGCACGCUUAUUCUCCUAAAUCCCGUUAGGGACAACGGAGAAGGAACGGGAUUUGUAGGAUAUACGGGAUGUUUGGGUGCAUGAUUUAUACCGGAUUUGAGGCGGAUUUGAGCGAACUCCAGCCAAACGGCCUAAGAUGCAAAACCAAAUCGCACAGUCUCUUAAGCUUGUGUCUGAAACCCUCGUCUUUCUCCACCAAAUCGAAAUUCUAGAAACCCUAGACGAUCGAGAAGCGUGAAAGUUGCGAAACCUGGCUGAAGAAGCAUCGACGUGACCUGCGACUUGUGAAAUCCGUCCAAUGACCGGCUAUAUAUCAUCGGGGGUUUCAGAUAGAAUGGGGGAGAAGCGGAUUUUAAGAUUCUGUUGGUCUUAAGGAUCUCAUUUUUGCUGUUUGUCAGGAUUUAGGUUAAUCCUUCUCAGAAACUGCUACCGAACAGCUCGUUUAUGGCUUUGCAGUAGUAAGAUAUGGAGGAAUUAGGAGACUCUGUUCUUGCUUCUUGGUGGAAGAUUGUUUGUGUUAAUUUUACUGCUCAAAGCCUCUCCUCUCACUUUUGAUACGCAUACAUUUGCAUGCAUUAAUCAGUUUGCAAGAUUGGGUUCUAAAUUAUUUUGUAAAUCUGCUGUAAAGAAAGUAAUUAUUUAAAGCUGUUGUUGAGAGUAGUUUUCUAGUACAAAUAUUUAUUUAUGAGGUAGCGUGCAUUGAUAGAUAUUAUGAUAGAUAUGAAUACAAUAUUUAAGCCUCAACUAUAUAGUUGAAAAUUCAUAUUUUAUUUUGUUUUUUGA